rnacentral:misc_RNA from 1 species
GAUGAAGAACGUAGCGAAAUGCGAUACGUAAUGUGAAUUGCAAAUUCAGUGAAUCAUCGAGUCUUUGAACGCACAUUGCGACCCCUGGUAUUCCGGGGGGCAUGCCUGUCCGAGCGUCAUUGCUGCCCUCAAGCACGGCUUGUGUGUUGGGCCCCGUCCUCCGAUCCCGGGGGACGGGCCCGAAAGGCAGCGGCGGCACCGCGUCCGGUCCUCGAGCGUAUGGGGCUUUGUCACCCGCUCUGUAGGCCCGGCCGGCGCUUGCCGAUCAACCCAAAUUUUUAUCCAGGUUGACCUCGGAUCAGGUAGGGAUACCCGCUGAACUUAAGCAUAUCAAUAAGCGGAGGA